rnacentral:rRNA from 1 species
GACGAAGGAUCCAAGCGUUAUCCGGAUUUAUUGGGUUUAAAGGGUGCGUAGGCGGAUUGAUAAGUCAGUGGUGAAAGCCUGCAGCUUAACUGCAGAACUGCCAUUGAUACUGUCAAUCUUGAAUAUGGUUGAUGUGGGCGGAAUAUGACAUGUAGCGGUGAAAUGCUUAGAUAUGUCAUAGAACACCGAUUGCGAAGGCAGCUCACAAAGCCAUUAUUGACGCUGAGGCACGAAAGCGUGGGGAUCAAACAGGA